rnacentral:rRNA from 1 species
AGUCGAGGGGUAGCAUGAUUGUAGCAAUACAAUUGAUGACGACCGGCAAACGGGUGCGGAACACGUACACAACCUUCCUACAAGUGGGGAAUAGCCCAGAGAAAUUUGGAUUAAUACCCCGUAACAUAGCGAUGUGGCAUCACAUUGCUAUUAUAGCUUCGGCGCUUGUUGAUGGGUGUGCGGCUGAUUAGAUAGUUGGCGGGGUAACGGCCCACCAAGUCUACGAUCAGUAGCUGAUGUGAGAGCAUGAUCAGCCACACGGGCACUGAGACACGGGCCCGACUCCUACGGGAGGCAGCAGUAAGGAAUAUUGGACAAUGGACGCAAGUCUGAUCCAGCCAUGCCGCGUGAAGGAUUAAGGUCCUCUGGAUUGUAAACUUCUUUUAUAAGGGACGAAAAAAGGUCUUUCUAGAUCGUCUGACGGUACCUUAUGAAUAAGCACCGGCUAACUCCGUGCCAGCAGCCGCGGUAAUACGGAGGGUGCAAGCGUUAUCCGGAUUCACUGGGUUUAAAGGGUGCGUAGGCGGGCAGGUAAGUCAGUGGUGAAAUCCUAGAGCUCAACUCUAGAACUGCCAUUGAUACUAUCUGUCUUGAAUAUUGUGGAGGUAAGCGGAAUAUGUCAUGUAGCGGUGAAAUGCUUAGAUAUGACAUAGAACACCUAUUGCGAAGGCAGCUUACUACGCAUAUAUUGACGCUGAGGCACGAAAGCGUGGGGAUCAAACAGGAUUAGAUACCCUGGUAGUCUACGCCCUAAACGAUGGAUACUCGACAUACGCGAUACACUGUGUGUGUCUGANCGAAAGCAUUAAGUAUCCCACCUGGGAAGUACGUCCGCAAGGAUGAAACUCAAAGGAAUUGGCGGGGGUCCGCACAAGCGGNGGANCAUGUGGUUUAAUUCGAUGAUACGCGAGGAA